GGGUCCCUACCUUGCCUUAUAUUGCUGAGGGCAGGGUUACAGGUCGGUUGUUUACAAGAGUACUAAUUGGAUUGGACUAGAAAGUCCUACUCUAAUUGCUACUAGUAGUUUCCUAAUCCUCGACUAGUCCUUGUCGUCCAUGUAGACCACACCGUCCUGCAACGUAGUCUCCAUGUUUGAUACGUCUUAGUCUACAACCCCGUAUUGUAGGAUUGUCCAAG
rnacentral:lncRNA from 1 species